rnacentral:rRNA from 1 species
GACGAACGCUGGCGGCGUGCUUAACACAUGCAAGUCGAACGGAAAGGCCCUGCUUUUGUGGGGUGCUCGAGUGGCGAACGGGUGAGUAACACGUGAGUAACCUGCCCUUGACUUUGGGAUAACUUCAGGAAACUGGGGCUAAUACCGGAUAGGAGCUCCUGCUGCAUGGUGGGGGUUGGAAAGUUUCGGCGGUUGGGGAUGGACUCGCGGCUUAUCAGCUUGUUGGUGGGGUAGUGGCUUACCAAGGCUUUGACGGGUAGCCGGCCUGAGAGGGUGACCGGCCACAUUGGGACUGAGAUACGGCCCAGACUCCUACGGGAGGCAGCAGUGGGGAAUAUUGCACAAUGGGCGGAAGCCUGAUGCAGCAACGCCGCGUGCGGGAUGACGGCCUUCGGGUUGUAAACCGCUUUCGCCUGUGACGAAGCGUGAGUGACGGUAAUGGGUAAAGAAGCACCGGCUAACUACGUGCCAGCAGCCGCGGUGAUACGUAGGGUGCGAGCGUUGUCCGGAUUUAUUGGGCGUAAAGGGCUCGUAGGUGGUUGAUCGCGUCGGAAGUGUAAUCUUGGGGCUUAACCCUGAGCGUGCUUUCGAUACGGGUUGACUUGAGGAAGGUAGGGGAGAAUGGAGUUCCUGGUGGAGCGGUGGAAUGCGCAGAUAUCAGGAGGAACACCAGUGGCGAAGGCGGUUCUCUGGGCCUUUCCUGACGCUGAGGAGCGAAAGCGUGGGGAGCGAACAGGCUUAGAUACCCUGGUAGUCCACGCUGUAAACGGUGGGUACUAGGUGUGGGGUCCAUUCCACGGGUUCCGUGCCGUAGCUAACGCUUUAAGUACCCCGCCUGGGGAGUACGGCCGCAAGGCUAAAACUCAAAGGAAUUGACGGGGCCCCGCACAAGCGGCGGAGCAUGCGGAUUAAUUCGAUGCAACGCGUAGAACCUUACCUGGGUUUGACAUGGAUCGGGAGUGCUCAGAGAUGGGUGUGCCUCUUUUGGGGUCGGUUCACAGGUGGUGCAUGCCUGUCGUCAGCUCGUGUCGUGAGAUGUUGGGUUAAGUCCCGCAACGAGCGCAACCCUUGUUCACUGUUGCCAGCACGUUAUGGUGGGGACUCAGUGGAGACCGCCGGGGUCAACUCGGAGGAAGGUGGGGAUGACGUCAAGUCAUCAUGCCUCUUAUGUCCAGGGCUUCACGCAUGCUACAAUGGCUGGUACAGAGAGUGGCGAGCCUGUGAGGGUGAGCGAAUCUCGGAAAGCCGGUCUCAGUUCGGAUUGGGGUCUGCAACUCGACCUCAUGAAGUCGGAGUCGCUAGUAAUCGCAGAUCAGCAACGCUGCGGUGAAUACGUUCCCGGGGCU